CAGUAGCCGCGGUAAUACAGAGGGUGCGAGCGUUAAUCGGAUUUACUGGGCGUAAAGCGUGCGUAGGCGGCUUCUUAAGUCGGAUGUGAAAUCCCUGAGCUUAACUUAGGAAUUGCAUUCGAUACUGGGAAGCUAGAGUAUGGGAGAGGAUGGUAGAAUUCCAGGUGUAGCGGUGAAAUGCGUAGAGAUCUGGAGGAAUACCGAUGGCGAAGGCAGCCAUCUGGCCUAAUACUGACGCUGAGGUACGAAAGCGUGGGGAGCAAACAGGAUUAGAGACCCCUGUAGUCCCUGUCUCUUAUAC
rnacentral:rRNA from 1 species